GCGCCAAUGGUUUAGUGGUAAAAUACAGCUUUGCCAUAGCUGUGCCGGGGGUUCGAUUCCCCCUUGGCGCA
rnacentral:tRNA from 1 species